rnacentral:rRNA from 1 species
UACGUAGGGAGCAAGCGUUGUCCGGAAUCAUUGGGCGUAAAGCGCGCGUAGGUGGCUUCGUAAGUCCGUUGUGAAAGUCAAAGGCUCAACCUUUGAAAGCCGAUGGAUACUGUGGAGCUAGAGUACGGAAGAGGCGAGUGGAAUUCCUGGUGUAGCGGUGGAAUGCGCAGAUAUCAGGAGGAACACCGGUGGCGAAGGCGGAUCUCUGGGCCAUUACUGACGCUGAGGAGCGAAAGCGUGGGGAGCGAACAGG